GACUCAAAGCCUGUCAUCAAAAUGAUUGUAUUUGUCAUCAAAAUGAUUGUAUUUGUAUUACAGAUAUCUGUACCAGUUUCCAAGAAGCGACAAUCUUGUUCUCUAAAACACAUGGGAUGAAAAGUUUG